rnacentral:lncRNA from 1 species
CUGCAGCUCUGAUUCCACCCUUAGCCUGGGAACUUUUAUAUGCUGCAGGUACCGCCCUAAAAAUAAAUAAAUGAAUAAAUGUUAUUGGAGUAUAGCUGACUCACGAUGUUGUGUGAGUUUGAGGUGUGUGGCGAAGUGAAUCAGUUACACAUAUGCCCAUUCCUUUUCAAAUUCUUUUCACAUAGGUUAUGACAGAAUAUUGAGUAGAUUUCUGUGUGCUGCACAGAAGGUCCUUGUUAUUUAUCUAUUUUAUAUAUGGUAGAUUAUAUAUGUUAAUCCCAAACUCUUAAUUUAUCCCUUCCUCAACUGCUUCCCCUUUGGGGACCAUAAGUUUGGUUCCUAAAUCUCUGAUUCUGUUUCUCUCAUUUUGUUUUUUUUCCAUUAAAUAUCUGCCCAUGUCUGUUUCUGUUUUUGUUUUGUUUUGUUUUGUUUUGUUUUUUAAGGGCUACACCUGCAGCAUAUGGAGGUUCCCAGGCUAGGGGUUGAAUUGGAGCUACAGCCGUCAGCCUACACCACAGCCACAGCAACAGGGGUUCUGAGCCGCAUCUGCAACCUAUGACCUACGCUGCAGCUCACGGCAACAGCCGAUCCUUAACCCACUGAGCGAGGCCAGGGAUCAAACCUGCAUCCUCAUGGAUACCAGUCGGAUUCUUAACCUGCUGAGCCACAAGAGGAACUCCCAAAAUCACAUUCUUGAAAGUGGCUGAAAGGUCUGCAUGUAUAAGAAGGAACUCCAUCCUCAAACCAUACGGAAAAAUAAGCCCACAAUGGCCUCUACCCCUAAAUGUAAGAGCUGAGACUAUGAGACUCUCAGGAGACAACAUAGGAGUAAAUGUUUAUACUUUGGGUUAAGCAAAGUCUUCUUAGGUGUGACACCAAACCCACAAGUGACAAAGGAAAAAAACAAACAGAUAAAUUGGACAUCACCAAAGUUUAAAACUUUGGCCAAAGACAAAUACAUGAUAUCACUUACAUGUGGACUCUAAAACAAAAUGAUACAAAUUUAUUUACAAAACAGAAACAGACUCGUAGACUCCAAAAACAAAGCUAUGACUACCAAAGGGGAAAGGUGGGGGGAGGGAGGGACUGGGGUUUGGGACUGGCACAUGCGCACUAUGGUUCAUGGAACGGAUGGUCAACAGGCACCUGCUGUACAGCCCAGGGACCUCUGCUCCACAGUCUGGGGUAACCUCUACGGGAAUGGGUAUGUGUGUGUGCGUAACUGAACCACCUGGCUGUAAAUCCACCACACUUGGAUCCAGCUAAAAAAACCUUUUGUACUACAAACACUACCUCAAGAAAAUGGUAAGACAACCCACAGAAUGGAAGGCCACAUUUGCAAAUCACAUCCCUGAGAAGGGACUUGUAUCUGGAACACAUGAGGACUCAUAGCUCAGUAAUAAAAAGAUCAAAACCCAAUUUUUAAAUGGGCAAAAGACCUGAAGUGACAUUUCUCAAAAGAAGAUAUGCAAAUGACCAAUAAACACAUGAAAAGAUGCUCCAUUUGAUUUGUCACCAGGGAAAUGCAAAUCAAACCACAAGGAGCUACUACCUUGGAGCCCCUGGGAUGGGGAUAAAGGCAGAUUCUAGCAGGUGUUGGCAAGAAUAUAGAGGACCUGGAGCCUUGCUGUACCGCCGAUGGAGCUGUAACAUGGGGCAGAACUAGGGACUGGUCCAGUGUUCUUCAAAAGGUGAAACACGGAGUAACCAAACGACCCAGCAAUUCCGAUCCUGGGUAUAUAGACACAGCCCCAAAGAAAUUAAAACCUGUGUCCACACAAGACCUGGUUCGCAAAGUUCAUAGCAGUGUUUUCCACAACAGCCCAAGAGGAGAACCAACUCAGAAGGGCCCAUCAGGUGACGAAGGGAUCAACUAGCACGGGACACCCGUACAAGGUACUAUUAUUCCUCCCCCGCCCUUUUGUGGCCACCCCAUGGCAUACGGAGUUCCCGGGUCAGGGAUCAGAUCCGAGCCAUGGCUGGUUUCGACCUGUGCUGCUGCAGCAACACCGGAUCCUUAACCCACUGUGCCCGGCCGGGGAUUGAACCUACAUCCCAGCGCUCCAGAGACACUGCCGAUCCUGUUGUGCCACGGUGGGACCUCCUUGAACUCCUUGGUAAAAGGAAUGAAGUACUGACGCGCAUGACAAGGAGGAUGGACCUGAAAGCCUUAUACUAAGUGAAAAAGGCAGACACGCAAGGCCGCAUGUCGUAUGAUUCUGAUUAUAUGAAACGGCCAGAGGAGCAAAUCCAGAGACCGAGGGUAGCUUAGCAGUGGCCAAGGGCUAGAUGUCGGGGGCGCGACAGGCACGGCGGGUCUCAUCUUGGGACCAUCUCCAAGACCUCGCGGCUUUGUAGAGAGCACGGAGCCACCAUCACGAACGGGAUCCUACCGCCAACCCCCCACGGAUCGACCGGCAGGUUCGCCGCACCAGCACCUCCUACCUGGGCCAGGGAACAGGUCCACGCUGCUUCUUCCUCUCCGCCUGGAGAGCAGCGAGGGGCCGGCUGUUUCUGCGAAUGGCCCAGUUGGUGCUCCACUGGCUGUUUACCUGUAACUCACCUGUCAUCAUUCUGGCCUCCACCGGGAUCAGGUGGAAAAGAUUUGCAAAGGAAAAUGAACUUGGGAAAAACUAGACCUCACGACCCGAGCGUCGCUAAAAUCCUGUCUGUGGUGUCAUGCAGAAGUGCCAGCUGUGAACCUUGAGCUCAGCCCUCUGGUCCCGGGGAAGGAAUGACCCGAUUGGAAAGUCAGAAGCUAAUUUGAUGCCCCUGGAUUAUUUGUGAAAAAAUAAGUAAAUCAGGAAAUUGUUUUGCUAAAGACAGGUGCCUUGUGUGGCAACGUGGGUGAACUUUGAGAACAUCAGACUAAGAGAAAUAAACCAGCCGCAGAGGACAGAUGUUGCCUGAUUUCACUUACAUGCGGGAUCUGGACGAUUCAAACUCAGAAGCUUGGAGCAGGAUGGUGGUUGCCAGGGGCUGGGGGCGGGGGGGGGGGGCUUGCUGCCCCCUCCCCCAUGCCAGCUAUGGAGUUUUAGUUAUUGGAAAUGAAUAAAUUCUAGAGACCU